rnacentral:rRNA from 1 species
UACGAAGGGGGCUAGCGUUGCUCGGAUUUACUGGGCGUAAAGGGCGCGCAGGCGGCGGAUCAAGUCAGACGUGAAAGCCCCGGGCUUAACCUGGGAACUGCGUUUGGGACUGAUUUGCUAGAGAUCGGGAGAGGAGAGUGGAAUUCCCAGUGUAGAGGUGAAAUUCGUAGAUAUUGGGGAAGAACACCGGUGGCGAAGGCGGCUCUCUGGACCGAUACUGACGCUGAGGCGCGAAAGCGUGGGGAGCAAACAGG